AGAGUUUGAUCCUGGCUGAGAUUGAACGCUGGCGUCAUGCCUUACACAUGCAAGUCGAACGGCAGCACGGGAGCUUGCUCCUGGUGGCGAGUGGCGAACGGGUGAGUAAUAUAUCGGAACGUACCCUGGAGUGGGGGAUAACGCCGCGAAAGCGGCGCUAAUACCGCAUACGAUCUAAGGAUGAAAGUGGGGGACUUGUUGGGUAACCAAUAGGCCUCAUGCUCGUGGAGCGGCCGAUAUCUGAUUAGCUAGUUGGUGAGGUAAAGGCUCACCAAGGCGACGAUCAGUAGCUGGUCUGAGAGGACGACCAGCCACACUGGAACUGAGACACGGUCCAGACUCCUACGGGAGGCAGCAGUGGGGAAUUUUGGACAAUGGGGGCAACCCUGAUCCAGCAAUGCCGCGUGAGUGAAGAAGGCCUUCGGGUUGUAAAGCUCUUUUGUCGGGGAAGAAAAGGUUGUUCCUAAUACGGAUGACUGAUGACGGUACCCGAAGAAUAAGCACCGGCUAACUACGUGCCAGCAGCCGCGGUAAUACGUAGGGUGCAAGCGUUAAUCGGAAUUACUGGGCGUAAAGCGUGCGCAGGCGGUUAUUUAAGUCAGCUGUGAAAUCCCCGGGCUCAACCUGGGAAUGGCAGUUGAGACUGGAUAGCUAGAGUGUGUCAGAGGGGGGUAGAAUUCCACGUGUAGCAGUGAAAUGCGUAGAGAUGUGGAGGAAUACCGAUGGCGAAGGCAGCCCCCUGGGAUAACACUGACGCUCAUGCACGAAAGCGUGGGGAGCAAACAGGAUCAGAUACCCUGGUAGUCCACGCCCUAAACGAUGUCAACUAGUUGUCGGGACUUAAUUGUCUUGGUAACGCAGCUAACGCGUGAAGUUGACCGCCUGGGGAGUACGGUCGCAAGAUUAAAACUCAAAGGAAUUGACGGGGACCCGCACAAGCGGUGGAUGAUGUGGAUUAAUUCGAUGCAACGCGAAAAACCUUACCUACCCUUGACAUGGUACGAAUCCUGAAGAGAUUUGGGAGCGCUCGCAAGAGAGCGUAUACACAGGUGCUGCAUGGCUGUCGUCAGCUCGUGUCGUGAGAUGUUGGGUUAAGUCCCGCAACGAGCGCAACCCUUGUCAUUAAUUGCCAUCAUUAGGUUGGGCACUUUAAUGAGACUGCCGGUGACAAACCGGAGGAAGGUGGGGAUGACGUCAAGUCCUCAUGGCCCUUAUAGGUAGGGCUACACACGUCAUACAAUGGAUGGUACAAAGGGUUGCCAACCCGCGAGGGGGAGCCAAUCUCAGAAA
rnacentral:rRNA from 1 species